rnacentral:rRNA from 1 species
UACGAAGGGGGCUAGCGUUGCUCGGAAUUACUGGGCGUAAAGCGCACGUAGGCGGCGAUCUAAGUCAGAGGUGAAAGCCCGGGGCUCAACCCCGGAAUGGCCUUUGAGACUGGAUUGCUAGAAUCUUGGAGAGGCGAGUGGAAUUCCGAGUGUAGAGGUGAAAUUCGUAGAUAUUCGGAAGAACACCAGUGGCGAAGGCGGCUCGCUGGACAAGUAUUGACGCUGAGGUGACGAAAGCGUGGGGAGCAAACAGG